AAAAGACGAGAAGACCCUAUAAAUCUUUAUUAUAUUUUUAUAUAAGUAUUAAUAGAUGCUUUAAUUAUAUAUAAUUUAUGUAAUUUUAUUGGGGUGAUAUUAAAAUUAAUUUAACUUUUAAUUAUUUAUUGACAUUGAUUUAUGAAUUAUUGAUCCAUUAAUAAUGAUUAUAAGAAUAAGUUACUUUAGGGAUAACAGCGUAAUUUUUUUGUAGAGUUCAUAUCGAUAAAAAAGAUUGCGACCUCGAUGUUGGAUUAAGAUUAAAUUUAGGUGUAGAAGUUUAAAUUUUAAGUCUGUUCGACUUUUAAAAUCUUACAUGACCUGAGUUCAAACCAGCGUAAGCCAGGUUGGUUUCUAUCUUU
rnacentral:ncRNA from 1 species